rnacentral:rRNA from 1 species
GAUGAACGCUAGCGGCAGGCUUAAUACAUGCAAGUCGAGGGGCAGCACAGAUAGCAAUAUUGGGUGGCGACCGGCGAACGGGUGCGGAACACGUACACAACCUUCCUUUUAGUGUGGGAUAGCCCAGAGAAAUCUGGAUUAAUACCACAUAGUAUAUUGGAGUGGCAUCACUUUGAUAUUAAAGAUUUAUCGCUAAAAGAUGGGUGUGCGUAUGAUUAGGUAGUUGGUAGAGGUAACGGCUCACCAAGCCGUCGAUCAUUAACUGGUGUUCGGCGACGACCAGUCACACGGGCACUGGGGCACGGGCCCGACGCCUACGGGAGGCAGCAGUAAGGAAGAUUGGGCAAGGGACGGAAGUCUGAACCAGCCAGGCCGCGUGAAGGAUGACGGCCCUCUGGGUUGUAAACUUCUUUUAUGUGGGACGAAAAAGGGCCAUUUUUGGUCAACUGACGGUACCAUAGGAAUAAGCACCGGCUAACUCCGUGCCAGCCGCCGCCGUAA